rnacentral:rRNA from 1 species
GAUGAACGCUGGCGGCGUGCCUAAUACAUGCAAGUAGAACGCUGAAGGAGGAGCUUGCUCUUCUGGAUGAGUUGCGAACGGGUGAGUAACGCGUAGGUAACCUGCCUGGUAGCGGGGGAUAACUAUUGGAAACGAUAGCUAAUACCGCAUGACAACAGUUAUUGCAUGAUAACUGUUUAAAAGGGGCAACUGCUCCACUACCAGAUGGACCUGCGUUGUAUUAGCUAGUUGGUGAGGUAACGGCUCACCAAGGCGACGAUACAUAGCCGACCUGAGAGGGUGAUCGGCCACACUGGGACUGAGACACGGCCCAGACUCCUACGGGAGGCAGCAGUAGGGAAUCUUCGGCAAUAGACGGAAGUCUGACCGAGCAACGCCGCGUGAGUGAAGAAGGUUUUCGGAUCGUAAAGCUCUGUUGUAAGAGAAGAACGAGUGUGAGAGUGGAAAGUUCACACUGUGACGGUAUCUUACCAGAAAGGGACGGCUGACUACGUG